AUUGAACGCUGGCGGAAUGCUUUACACAUGCAAGUCGAACGGCAGCAUAGGUGCUUGCACCUGAUGGCGAGUGGCGAACGGGUGAGUAAUACAUCGGAACGUGCCCAGUCGUGGGGGAUAACGUAGCGAAAGUUACGCUAAUACCGCAUACGAGCUAAGGAUGAAAGCGGGGGACCGUAAGGCCUCGCGCGCGUGGAGCGGCCGAUGUCAGAUUAGGUAGUUUGUGAGGUAAAGGCUCACCAAGCCGACGAUCUGUAGCAGGUCUGAGAGGACGACCAGCCACACUGGGACUGAGACACGGCCCAGACUCCUACGGGAGGCAGCAGUGGGGAAUUUUGGACAAUGGACGCAAGUCUGAUCCAGCCAUUCCGCGUGCAGGACGAAGGCCUUCGGGUUGUAAACUGCUUUUGUACGGAACGAAAAAGCUCUUACUAAUACUAGGAGUCCAUGACGGUACCGUAAGAAUAAGCACCGGCUAACUACGUGCCAGCCGCCGCCGUAA
rnacentral:rRNA from 1 species